rnacentral:pre_miRNA from 1 species
GGAAGAAAACGAGAAGGGACGGACAAACACAAACUUCCAACUAGCAACUAGUUGGAAGUUUGUGUUUGUCCGUCCCUUCUCGUUUUCUUCC